rnacentral:tRNA from 1 species
AGCGGGUUAAUCUAAAAUUAAGAUAGCGAACUUCAAAUUCGAAUAUAAGCACGGUGCUUACUCGUUG